rnacentral:rRNA from 1 species
GUCGAACGAAGGCUUCGGCCUUAGUGGCGCACGGGUGCGUAACGCGUGGGAAUCUGCCCUUGGGUUCGGAAUAACAGUUAGAAAUGACUGCUAAUACCGGAUGAUGACGAAAGUCCAAAGAUUUAUCGCCCAGGGAUGAGCCCGCGUACGAUUAGGUAGUUGGUGGGGUAGAGGCCUACCAAGCCGACGAUCCUUAGCUGGUCUGAGAGGAUGAUCAGCCAACACUGGGACUGAGACACGGCCCAGACUCCUACGGGAGGCAGCAGUGGGGAAUAUUGGACAAUGGGCGAAAGCCUGAUCCAGCAAUGCCGCGUGAGUGAUGAAGGCCUUAGGGUCGUAAAGCUCUUUUACCAGGGAUGAUAAUGACAGUACCUGGAGAAUAAGCUCCGGCUAACUCCGUGCCAGCAGCCGCGGUAAUACGGAGGGAGCUAGCGUUGUUCGGAAUUACUGGGCGUAACGCGCACGUAGGCGGUUAUUCAAGUCAGAGGUGAAAGCCCGGGGCUCAACCCCGGAACUGCCUUUGAAACUAGAUGACUGGAAUCUUGGAGAGGUCAGUGGAAUUCCGAGUGUAGAGGUGAAAUUCGUAGAUAUUCGGAAGACACCAGUGGCGAAGGCGACUGACUGG